AUUGCGAUCAGUCACACUAUGGGCUCUUAUUUAUUUAAAUACUUAAUAAUGCAGAAAUAGCAACAGUUAAUACUAUGUCCGGUUUCUGACCUGCUGAGCGGGCUGUUCCAAGCCAGCAGUUAGCCGUUAGUUUAAAUCACACAAAUAUUGCGAUCAGUCACACUAUGGGCUCUUAUUUAUUUAAAUACUUAAUAAUGCAGAAAUAGCAACAGUUGAUACUAUGUCCGGUUUCUGACCUGCUGAGCGGGCUGUUCCAAGCCAGCAGUCAGCCGUUAGUUUAAAUCACACAAAUAUUGCGAUCAGUCACACUAUGGGCUCUUAUUUAUUUAAAUACUUAAUAAUGCAGAAAUAGCAACAGUUAAUACUAUGUCCGGUUUCUGACCUGCUGAGCGGGCUGUUCCAAGCCAGCAGUCAGCCGUUAGUUUAAAUCACACAAAUAUUGCGAUCAGUCACACUAUGGGCUCUUAUUUAUUUAAAUACUUAAUAAUGCAGAAAUAGCAACAGUUGAUACUAUGUCCGGUUUCUGACUUGCUGAGCGGGCUGUUCCAAGCCAGCAGUCAGCCGUUAGUUUAAAUCACACAAAUAUUGCGAUCAGUCACACUAUGGGCUCUUAUUUAUUUAAAUACUUAAUAAUGCAGAAAUAGCAACAGUUGAUACUAUGUCCGGUUUCUGACCUGCUGAGCGGGCUGUUCCAAGCCAGCAGUCAGCCGUUACCUUCAAACACACAGACAUUAGCUGUUAAAAUGUAUGCUGCUCUGGAAAAUUAAACAAAUAAAAAAAAUAUAGGCAGUCAAGUCAUUGUUCUAGGUGUAUAAAACAACUAGUGUUCGGUUUCUGACCUGCUGAGCGGGCUGUUCCAAGCCAGCAGUCAGCCGUUAUCUUCAAACACACCAACAAUGCAAUUUGCUUAGGCAAUGGGCUCCAUAACUUAUAGCACAACUGACUAAUAGUUUUCGGUUUCUGACCUGCUGAGCGGGCUGUUCCAAGCCAGCAGUCAGCCGUUACCUUCAAACACACAGACAUUAGCUGUUAAAAUGUAUGCUGCUCUGGAAAAUUAAACAAAUAAAAAAAAUAUAGGCAGUCAAGUCAUUGUUCUAGGUGUAUAAAACAACUAGUGUUCGGUUUCUGACCUGCUGAGCGGGCUGUUCCAAGCCAGCAGUCAGCCGUUAUCUUCAAACACACCAACAAUGCAAUUUGCUUAGGCAAUGGGCUCCAUAACUUAUAGCACAACUGACUAAUAGUUUUCGGUUUCUGACCUGCUGAGCGGGCUGUUCCAAGCCAGCAGUCAGCCGUUACCUUCAAACACACAAACAUUAGCUGUUACAAUGUAUGCUGCUCUGGAAAAUUAAACAAAUAAAAAAAAUAUAGGCAGGCAAGUCAUUGUUCUUGGUGUAUAAAAACAACUAGUGUUCGGUUUCUGACCUGCUGAGCGGGCUGUUCCAAGCCAGCAGUCAGCCGUUAUCUUCAAGCACACCAACAAUGCAAUUUGCUUAGGCAAUGGGCUCCAUAACUUGUAGCACAACUGACUAAUAGUAUUCGGUUCUGACCUGCUGAGCGGGCUGUUCCAAGCCAGCAGUCAGCCGUUACUUUGAAUCACACAAACAUUAGCUGUUACAAUGUAUGUUACUCUGGCAGACAAACAAAAAAAUAUAUAGGCAGGCAAGUCAUUGUUCUUGGUGUAUAAAACAACUAGUGUUCGGUUUCUGACCUGCUGAGCGGGCUGUUCCAAGCCAGCAGUCAGCCGUUAUCUUCAAACACACCAACAAUGCAAUUUGCUUACACAAUGGGCUCCAUAACUUGUAGCACAACUGACUAAUAGUAUUCGGUUUCUGACCUGCUGAGCGGGCUGUUCCAAGCCAGCAGUCAGCCGUUACUUUGAAUCACACAAACAUUAGCUGUUACAAUGUAUGUUACUCUGGCAGACAAACAAAAAAAAUAUAGGCAGGCAAGUCAUUGUUCUUGGUGUAUAAAACAACUAGUGUUCGGUUUCUGACCUGCUGAGCGGGCUGUUCCAAGCCAGCAGUCAGCCGUUAUCUUCAAACACACCAACAAUGCAAUUUGCUUACACAAUGGGCUCCAUAACUUGUAGCACAACUGACUAAUAGUAUUCGGUUUCUGACCUGCUGAGCGGGCUGUUCCAAGCCAGCAGUCAGCCGUUACUUUGAAUCACACAAACAUUAGCUGUUACAAUGUAUGUUACUCUGGCAGACAAACAAAAAAAAUAUAGGCAGGCAAGUCAUUGUUCUUGGUGUAUAAAACAACUAGUGUUCGGUUUCUGACCUGCUGAGCGGGCUGUUCCAAGCCAGCAGUCAGCCGUUAUCUUCAAGCACACCAACAAUGCAAUUUGCUUACACAAUAGGCUCCAUAACUUCUAGCACAACUGACUAAUAGUAUUCGGUUUCUGACCUGCUGAGCGGGCUGUUCCAAGCCAGCAGUCAGCCGUUACCUUAAGUUAUAAUAACAAUGUGAGCUGUUAUGUUAUGGGCUGUUAUUCAUUUCAAAUACUACAUAACAGAUAUAGCAACAGUGACUGGUAGUGUUCCGUUUCUGACCUGCUGAGCGGGCUGUUCCAAGCCAGCAGUCCGAACGCAAAAUGCUUGUUUGUCACUUUAACUGACUUUUCCCAGCCUCUUUUUUGGAAGAGAGCAGUCUUUUUCUAACUGUGUUGCAGGUCUGCCAAGCCCCUCUGUGACAGCCUGGAUCAGCCACACCCGCACUUCAUCCAUACAGCUCAGCUUGUCCAUGUACGAAGACGCCUUGCAGGCACAAAAAUGAAGAAGAUGACACGCUCAAAACCAAGAAGACCAAUGGGCAGCUGUCAUGAGGACUCCAGCCACCGGAGCGCUGAGCAUCUAAAUAGGACAUGAAGACACAGGGCACGACAGCCGAGGAGACUGAAGAUGGCCAGGGAGAACAACGCCGGCUCUACUGAGGAAACAAAACAGCAACAAAUGAAGAUGUUCAGAGUCUAGAUGCCGCAGAAGACUCAAGAAGAAGACAACCAAGGAGAGCAACAAGAGCUCCAGUGAGGACUUUGUAAUUUUGUGGCACAGAGUUCAGUUGGUCCUGUGCAUGGUCAUAGUAAGUUGCCGUUGUUCAGUCCCCAGUUAGGCUUAAGAGCGGGUUCCCUUUGGAACUCGUUUGGGGGGGGGUUGUUAGUGUGGUGCGAACGUGGUUAGAGCAGUUGUCUCGGGAGCACAUCCGAAGCUGCAGGUGGGUCGCCAUUUUAUGGUUGCUUUACCGGGCUAUCGGGCUACAGUGCAUAAGUACCCGCCACAAGUAGCGCCUGAAGACUAGGGAGGAGCUUAGUUAGAUUCUGGUUUGGCAGCUAGGAGGACAGGGCUUCAGUGAUAUUUUGGCUGUGCAUUUGGGCUGAUUGAGCAUGUUUUGGUGUCACUGAGAGAACUUAGAUUUGUGUCUUGUUAAUCUUUGUGUUGCUCUUCUACUGUAAAUAAAUUUUAUUCCUCACUAAACAUUUGGUGUUUCAGCAGCCAUUAUUUCUUUUAUUUACUUUUUCUUGGAUCCAUUUUGUAGAGGUAAAUGUUUUUUUGGUAAACUUGUGUUACAUCUUGUGUUGUAUCAUAAUCUAAGUAUCAAGACUACUACUAAGUUAAUGGCAUUC